UCUCCGUUGGUGAACCAGCGGAGGGAUCAUUACGUAGUUGCAAAACUCCCGAACCAUUGUUAACGUUACCUAUCCCGUUGCUUCUGCUGGCUGCCCUGUCCCCGCGCCCGGCGCCACCCUGUCCCCCGUGGCCGAACGCCCGACGUAAACCAAACUCUUGAAUUACAUGGCCUCUCUGAGUCUUCUGUACUGAAUAAGUCAAAACUUUCAACAACGGAUCUCUUGGUUCUG
rnacentral:misc_RNA from 1 species